rnacentral:rRNA from 1 species
CAACGGUGGAGCCUGCGGUUUAAUUGGACUCAACGCCGGGCAGCUCACCGGAUAAGACAGCUGGAUGAUAGCCGGGCUGAAGACUCUGCUUGACUAGCUGAGAGGAGGUGCAUGGCCGUCGUCAGUUCGUACUGUGAAGCAUCCUGUUAAGUCAGGCAACGAGCGAGACCCACGCCAACAGUUGCCAGCAUGUCCUCCGGGAUGAUGGGGACACUGUUGGGACCGCCUCUGCUAAAGAGGAGGAAGGAAUGGGCAACGGUAGGUCAGCAUGCCCCGAAUUAUCCGGGCUACACGCGGGCUACAAUGGUCAGGACAAUGGGUAUCGACACCGAGAGGUGGAGGCAAUCUCCUAAACCUGUCCUUAGUUCGGAUUGUGGGCUGCAACUCGCCCACAUGAAGCUGGAAUCCGUAGUAAUCGCGUUUCAAAAUAGCGCGGUGAAUAUGUCCCUGCUCCUU